UACUGCUACUACUACUACGAUGAUGAUGAUGAUGAUGAUGAUGAUCAUCAUCAUCAUCAUCGUCAUCAUCAUCAUCAUCAUCAUCAUCAUCAUUAUUA
rnacentral:pre_miRNA from 1 species